AAUCAACGCUGGCGGCGUGCCUAACACAUGCAAGUCGAACGAGAAAGGGGCUUCGGCCCUGAGUAGAGUGGCGGACGGGUGAGUAACACGUGGGUGAUCUACCCUCCAGUGGGGGAUAACACAUCGAAAGGUGUGCUAAUACCGCAUGGAGUUCCGGUUGUCGCGAUCGGAAUGAAAGCAGCAAUGUGCUGGAGGAGGAGCCCGCUCCGGAUUAGCUAGUUGGUGGGGUAAUGGCCUACCAAGGCAACGAUCCGUAGCCGGCCUGAAAGGGUGACCGGCCACACUGGAACUGAGACACGGUCCAGACUCCUACGGGAGGCAGCAGUGGGGAAUUUUGCGCAAUGGGGGAAACCCUGACGCAGCAACGCCGCGUGGACGAUGAAGGCCUUUGGGUCGUAAAGUCCUGUCAGCAGGGAAAAACACAAUGAUGGUACCUGCAGAGGAAGCUCCGGCUAACUUCGUGCCAGCAGCCGCCGUAA
rnacentral:rRNA from 1 species